rnacentral:tRNA from 1 species
UCCCUGAUGGCUCAGUGGUGAAGAAUCUGCCUGCAAUGCAAGAGACUUGGGUUCGAUCCCUGGUCUGGGAA